GACGAACGCUGGCGGCGUGCUUAACACAUGCAAGUCGUACGGAAAGGCCCCUUUGGGGGUACACGAGUGGCGAACGGGUGAGUAACACGUGAGUAACCUGCCCUCGACUUCGGGAUAACUCCAGGAAACUGGGGCUAAUACCGGAUAUGUAUCCUUGCUGCAUGGUGGGGGUUGGAAAGCUCCGGCGGUUUUGGAUGGACUCGCGGCCUAUCAGCUUGUUGGUGGGGUAGUGGCUUACCAAGGCUUUGACGGGUAGCCGGCCUGAGAGGGCGACCGGCCACAUUGGGACUGAGAUACGGCCCAGACUCCUACGGGAGGCAGCAGUGGGGAAUAUUGCACAAUGGGCGGAAGCCUGAUGCAGCAACGCCGCGUGCGGGAUGACGGCCUUCGGGUUGUAAACCGCUUUCAGCAGGGACGAAGCUUGUGGUGACGGUACCUGCAGAAGAAGCACCGGCUAACUACGUG
rnacentral:rRNA from 1 species